rnacentral:rRNA from 1 species
CCUACGGGUGGCAGCAGUGAGGAAUAUUGGUCAAUGGACGAGAGUCUGAACCAGCCAAGUAGCGUGAAGGAUGACUGUUCUAUGGGUUGUAAACCUCUUUUAUAUGGGAAUAAAAUAGGGUAUGCAUCCCGUCUUGUAUGUACCAUAUGAAUAAGGAUCGGCUAACUCCGUGCCAGCAGCCGCGGUAAUACGGAGGAUCCGAGCGUUAUCCGGAUUUAUUGGGUUUAAAGGGUGCGUAGGUGGAUUUGUAAGUCAGUUGUGAAAGUUUGCGGCUCAACCGUAGAAUUGUAGUUGAAACUGGCAGUCUUGAGUAUGGUAGAGGUAGGCGGAAUUCGUGGUGUAGCGGUGAAAUGCUUAGAUAUCACGCAGAACUCCGAUUGCGAAGGCAGCCCACCAAGCUACGACUGACACUGAUGCACGAAAGUGUGGGUAUCAAACAGGAUUAGAUACCCCAGUAGUC